rnacentral:rRNA from 1 species
AAAACGACUCUCGGCAACGGAUAUCUCGGCUCUCGCAUCGAUGAWGAACGUAGCGAAAUGCGAUACUUGGUGUGAAUUGCAGAAUCCCGUGAACCAUCGAGUCUUUGAACGCAAGUUGCGCCCAAAGCCUUUUGGUUGAGGGCACGUCUGCCUGGGUGUCACAC